UACGAGGGGGGCGAGCGUUGUUCGGAAUUAUUGGGCGUAAAGGGCGCGUAGGCGGCCUGUUAAGUCGAACGUGAAAUCCCCGGGCUCAACCCGGGAACUGCGUCCGAUACUGGCAGGCUUGAAUCCGGGAGAGGGAUGUGGAAUUCCAGGUGUAGCGGUGAAAUGCGUAGAUAUCUGGAGGAACACCGGUGGCGAAGGCGGCAUCCUGGACCGGUAUUGACGCUGAGGCGCGAAAGCCAGGGGAGCAAACGGG
rnacentral:rRNA from 1 species